AAGAAAAAGACUUCAUCAAAAACGUGAACCAUUCUCUCUUCCUCUCCCUCACCAAAAAACUCCCAUGAAAGCUUGAUACAAGCUUGAUUCCACCCACUUAACCUUAUUUUGUCACUAAAUUAAUUCAUAAAAACUUGUAAACUUCACUUGGGGAAGCAUUUGAAGAAGAAAAGAAAAGGAAAAAGGGAGUGAAAUUGAAGAAUUAGAGCUAAAAAUUCUGCUCACUUAAGUUGAAAAAAAUAUCGGGAAGGAACCCGAGGAACCGAGUCGAGGCUAAAGGACGACUCGUUUGAGAUACAGAAAUUAGAGGAGCAGCAGACUGAGCUGCUGAGGUGUGUGAAGUCAUCAGCUUGAAGUCUUCGGGUAUAAUUUAUACCCUAACUGUAAAUAUUUCUUUUGAUGUAUAUAUUGCACAUAAAUGUAUGGACAUGUACAUGGGUCUUGAGCAGCUUGUACAAAGUUUGUAUAAAAGUUGUAAUAAAUUUUAGUUUGGACUUCCUGAAUGUAAAUUUUAGUAUGAUGAAUAUAUAAAUUGUUUAUCUUGAA